rnacentral:lncRNA from 1 species
UGAGGGAGAGGGACCUAGACUUUUUAAAGGGCACAUCUGACAUCAUUUUGAGUUUUCAAGUAUGUUAAUGAAUUAUCUAUUCACGUUAUUAAAUUAAAUCCAAUCCACUUGCCCCUAGGAGCCAGCCAAGGUGUGCUGACCUCUUGCCAUUGAAUUUCUACCUUGGAGGCUUCCUAGAUGUAUUUGAAUGGAAUCUAUAUUGUUAAGUCUUGGGCCAUUGCUCAGGCAUCUCAUGAAGUCACUGGAAGAUACUAUCACCUAAAAAGACCCAGUCAGGAUGUUAUGAGAAGAAAUGAGCUGGAUCUUCACAACUGUUUUCCUUUCCUACCCACUACUAAGAGAACCUGUGGAGAAAUACCUGUAAUCCAUGUCUUUAAGGAGCUCACUGUUUACAACAGAAAAGAGACAGAGCACAUGUAUACUGACAAAAAUAAUAGUGAGAUAAGCAUACACUAAACCAUCAACAAGAACCAAGUCGUGUGGUAGGACUAUACUGCAUGUAGGAGCAGAGCCGUUGUCUAGGUCUGUGGGAGCCCACCCACAUCCCAUUGCCAGAACUGCUCACCUUGCCUGCCACAGCCCUCGGACUGGCCCACCUGAGUCUGUGCCCAGAGCCCUCCGUCCCACCCACCAGAACAAUGGGAGUGGCUGGGUGUGGGCUGCCGUUGUGCACAUGGGAGCCUGGGACACUUGAUGCAUUAAAUCAUUAACCUUCAGCUUCUCCAACACCUGCUCAGCUGCACAGCUAGAGCUCCUCGUCAUCACACACACACACACACACACACACACACACCUAUGAAGCUGCAUUUGGUAAAUUUCUAGUCACAAAUCCGUCAAAGAAGACAGUUUAAACAAGGAAGGCCCCUGCUUGUUUAGAGUUGUGGCACCUCUCGGUGAUAGCCUCCUGCCCCUUAGUUGUAUUACAAACAAUCUAGGAAACACACUCCUGACACAUCUAAUAGUGUUUCUCAAAAGUUUGAGAAAGAUAGCGUAGUCACAUCAGAACCAAUGUGCAAUUGUAAUGUAUUUUUUUUAAAUUUUCUCAGAAAAGACUGACUGUGGGGAAUGAUAAGAUUACAAUAAAACCUGAGGAAUUUAAUGCCACAUUAAUUGAACACACAUUUUCACUUGAAGCAUUGCCUCAUUUCACGUCUCAUCCUAGCUCGGCCCCACCCAGCAAUUACAUUUCAUAUUCAUCAUUAGUAUUUCUGCUAUGAUAAAG